UUGUCCAAUGAGUUAGUCCUU
rnacentral:miRNA from 1 species